UAGUGGCGGACGGGUGAGUAACGCGUGAGAAUCUGCCUUCAGGAUGGGGACAACAGCGGGAAACUGCUGCUAAUACCCAAUGUGCCGCAAGGUGAAAGUAAUUCGCCUGAAGAGGAGCUCGCGUCUGAUUAGCUAGUUGGUAGAGUAAAAGCCUACCAAGGCAACGAUCAGUAGCUGGUCUGAGAGGAUGAGCAGCCACACUGGGACUGAGACACGGCCCAGACUCCUACGGGAGGCAGCAGUGGGGAAUUUUCCGCAAUGGGCGAAAGCCUGACGGAGCAAUACCGCGUGAGGGAGGAAGGUUCAAGUAAUUGUAAACCUCUUUUAUCAGGGAAGAAAAAAAUGACGGUACCUGAUGAAAAAGCAUCGGCUAACUCCGUGCCAGCAGCCGCGGUAAUACGGAGGAUGCAAGCGUUAUCCGGAAUUAUUGGGCGUAAAGCGUCCGCAGGUGGUAGUACAAGUCUGCUGUCAAAGACCAGAGCUUAACUCUGGGCAGGCGGUGG
rnacentral:rRNA from 1 species